rnacentral:sRNA from 12 species
CGGGGGUUGGAUUCAUGAUGCUGUGGCCCCCGUCAGCGUUGAACUGGUGAUCACGGGGAUCUUCACACACCAGUAAGUAAAGCUGCGUCCGAGCUGAAAGUAGGCCGCCGGGGGUUUUCUCGCCACUGCCCCGGUGCUCCGAAUUUGAUAAGCCGGGCGCACUGCACGCUUUGAAGGGGUGAGCUGUUGUUGGACAGCUUAGAAAGUGCAGACGCCGA